rnacentral:rRNA from 1 species
UACGGGGGGAGCAAGCGUUGUUCGGAUUUACUGGGCGUAAAGGGCGCGUAGGCGGUCAGCACAAGUCAGUUGUGAAAUCUCCGGGCUUAACUCGGAAAGGUCAACUGAUACUGUGCGACCAGAGUGCGGAAGGGGCAACUGGAAUUCUCGGUGUAGCGGUGAAAUGCGUAGAUAUCGAGAGGAACACCUGCGGCGAAGGCGGGUUGCUGGGCCGACACUGACGCUGAUGCGCGAAAGCCAGGGGAGGCAAACGGG